GACAACUGGCAGAAAUACCAAGAAUAAAUCAAUUACCACUUAAACCAUAAGUUGGGCAUAAUUAAAACUAAUUUUCAAAUUCUUAGAUAUAAUGUGAUUCAGAAUAAGCUUCAAACACAAUGUAAUAAAAUACAACAGCUACUAGAUGGUGCAUGGCAGGACAUCAGAAACAGCAGACAAACUGGAUUGUUUUAUGCUGAAAGUUUCUAUCAACAAACAAUAGCAUAAACUAACCAUCUAGGCCUACUGGGUAUUCAGUGUCAGCAGAUAGCUCACUACACAUAAUUAAACUUUAAGAUGGAACAUCACUGAUAGUCUGUCCCACCACAGCAACACCCCAAUAUGCAAUGAUCAUAAAUAUCAAAUUUCAGCUAAAGGAGACCCAUUAUACAAAUGAGGAUUCUGUAUGAACAAAGAAAUUAUGCAUAAAUGGUCAUCAUCAGUGUAUUAUACAUUCAAAGAGAUUACCCCAACCAUAUAUUAUUACCCCAUAAAUAUAGCAACUCUAUCUAUACAUUAGGAACAGUGGAAAUUUUAUUUAGAAACAAGCACUGAGGUGCAAUAGUAUACUCAUACCUCAGGGUCAAAUGCUCAGGUUAUUAUAAACUCAGAAUGUGUAAAGUUGACAAAUGUAAUCAAGAUUAAUAAGAAUGGAAAAUGUUACCUAUCCUCCCAUUUCCCCCCAAAUCUCAUACAGACAUUUGCUUGAAACAUAGUAUGGUAGAAUCCAAGAAAUACCACGGGUGCAUGUGACACACAUGGACAAUGUUAUUGAAAUAGCAUUGGAGGAACUGAAACAAUAGCUGGUGUCUUACAUUAAUAAUUGGAAAAUGUAAAGAAUUCAUUUCAGCUUACCAAACAUGCAGUUGCAGUACUAAAUACAUAUUCAGUUGCACUUGCAAGAUAUUGAAGUCAAUAUUGAAUAUUGAAUGCAAAAUGCUGGUUCUUCCUACUAAUUCAUAAAUCCUUCAAAGCACACACCAUGCACAGGUUCAUGGUCCAACAGGAACACUCUGACCUUAAUCAAGAUGGGCUGGUAUCAUUUGACCAGCACAAUUUGGUCAUGUCUAAAAGAAACACUGCUCUUGUUAUUAGCAGUGAUAUUUGGAUUCUGCUACUUAAAACUUAUGCCUCCAGCACUCUCUUGGGUCAGAACACCUGGGCUCAUACAUUGAGGAAUCAAGGGGUAGAGUGUGAAGGGCAGGCUGUGUCCUGCUUUGAGUUACUCUAUGAUGAAUAGAACAGUAGUUUUCAGACAGUAUUUAACCCUGAGUUACUUCAUUUAUAAAUAAAUAGUUUACCAUGAGUUACUCCAUUUGGAGUAUAUAAGGGAUGAGAUAGAAUACCUUGUUUGUACAAGUGAAGAGUCACCAUCUGUCUAACACAAUCAUAGGCACAAACUAAUAAUUGUUCUAAUAAAAAUGACCUGUGCACCUAAUGAGUUAAAUCAGAAACACAUAAAUGCAUGGGUAUACCAAAACCAUAUAAGAAAAACCAGCCCAUGAGCUCAUCAAGCCCACUAGACCACCGAAGUAACUCCCUCCCCUAAGAUCUAACCCUUUCUUAGUCUUUCUGUACCUUAUAUAUAGUUAUCCUAAAGUGUUAUAUGUUACUUGAGUUUUGUAGAUAUUAGUGAUUAAGGAUGAAAUAAAGGAACCUGUGAUUGCUGCC
rnacentral:lncRNA from 1 species